GGGUGCUUAACAUUUAUUCAAGGAUUACAGAACGCAUACAUACUUAUUCUAGAAAAUGUUUUCCAUGUUUUCCAAAAUAUAUUGGUGUUAUAGAAGUGAUGACUGUGUUGAUAGCAAAUCGAUUUGUCUUACAAUGAUUUCUACUUUACUGAUAAAACUGCAAAUAUUAGUCUAUUUGUUGUUGGUUAAGAAAACCUCUGUGCGACUUGGUUGAAAAGAAAAAAAUAGGUAUUGAUUGUUACUGAAAAAAAUGAGGGUGUUGUAGAUGACAAACAGAUGGAGUAAGUAACCAACCUCUUUUCCUGGAUAAAUCAUCUUUGAUAUAUUUUUAUUGAACUCAAUGUUUUCUUGUGCAUUGCUGCAUAGGUCCUCUGUGUAGUUAUUUAGAUAAUGAAGAUAGAUAUGGUGCUGAAGUUGGUCUAAAUGGAAUAGAAAAGAUAUUGAAGCUUGGAGAAGAAAAAAAGGUGAAUAAUGGGUGACAAUAAUGUAUAUGUUCAAAAGAUCAUACGAACUAAGGCUAUGCAAUGAGAUACUGGCAAUCAAUACAAUCUGUUGAUCCUACCGCUGUACCUGUUCCUCCUCGGGGUUCCAAUACCCAAAUGCAGUGCAUGCCAGCAGCCUUGACUGCUAAGGAUGUUAAGUGGCUCUGCGUCAGGCUCGUAUGUUAAGUAUGUUAUUGAGCAAGAAGAUCUCAGAGUUGAGAUUGAUCGCCUUAAGGAUGAACUGGCCCAAGAAAAUAAGAUGGAAUGUGAAGAGUUGCCCGUUAAUGGGACAUGAAACCAGGGAGGUGAAACAUGUGGUGAAUCCUUUCGAUCGGUGAUUCCUCAUAAUUUCAAAUGUUCCCUGGAGAUGCACCUCAAGCAAACCAUAUUUGGCAAAGCUACAGAAGAAGGUGAAACAUUAAGGCAUUGCCUACUAGAUAUCGAGGAUCUUAUAAAGAAGAGAGGUCAUCGCUGAGGCCUCAUAGUAUGCAGCUGCUCUGGAAACAGAAAAGGCGAUAAAAUGCUUUUCUUGAUCAGAUGAAAAUGAAUGAGGUUCUUUUGACACUGUUAUAAAGAUAUGCAUUUUGCAAAAUUAGGAUUCAAUUGAAUAUUCUGCAAAAGGAAAGCCACCAUCUAUAAGCUAAUUUUUUGCUGCAUGAUUUAGUUUCUCCCGGAGUUGAGAGGAAAAUUCAAUAAGGGAGCAGAUGAAUUAUACUAGUUGUGCAACAUCUAUGAGUUAAUAUCUCAGGUGAUUAAUUGUUCUUUUCAUAAAAAGUCACUCAAGUGAAGUUUGUUAUAGUGUGUCACCCAUAGAUGAGUGGUCAGUUAGAGUGAAUUAUCCAGGCCUUCGAGGAUGUGUUAUGAGUAUGUGUGAGGGAUUUUGAGUGGUCAUUGGGAUUCGUUCUUGUAAAUUGUAGACGUUGCAUGAGGAAAGGGUAAUCACUUUAGCAUUCAGGAAAACCUGUUUAAUUUGAGGCCUUGUAUGAUAAGAUAUGACAUUCACUGAUUGGUUAGUUCAGUGUUUUCAGGCUCAGGAUAUGAGUGCAUACUAGAUGGGAUAUUCUUUGAUGACUCAAGUCGAUUUAGAAUUGGGUCUCACACUUUAGGGUAAAUUAAAGAUUUGUGUUAAAUAAUGGAUUUGUUACUUAGAUUCAUGGCUGGUAAGGGAGUUUGUGGAAUGCAUCGUCUAUGAAAGACGUUAUGAGUUUUGGGAAGGAGGGAAAGCUAAGUCCAAGGUUCAUUGUCUCAGUUGUUGUUUUGCAGCAUGUAGGUGAGAAGCUAGGUGAUUCGAUUUUACUUCUUGGUUUGGCAAUUAUGCAUCUGGAGUUUCAGGUUCUAAUGUUGAAAGAAGAUUAUUCUAAUGUGGAUGAGACCAUUUGGGAGGUUGAGACAGUCAUUUAGAGUAGAUAUCCUCAGUUUUUUGACACUUCAGGUUUGGCAAUUAUGCAUCUGGAGUUUCAGGUUCUAAUGUUGAAAGAAGAUUAUUCUAAUGUGGAUGAGGCCAUUUGGGAGAUUGAGACAAUCAUUUAGAGCAGAUAUCUUCAGUUUUUCGACACUUCAGGUCCACGACAUGUGUGCUAAAGUCGGAGUAGAUCCUUAGCAUCAAACAAAGGUUUCUGGGCAGAACUGUUAGCGAUUGGUAACUUCUAUUAUGAACUUGUGCAUCAGAGGAACACUCGCUCACGCUUCCUACACCAUUGUGUAGUAAAACUGUAGAUAAAGUUUGGUCAGAAAUUCAUAAGACCCAACAAGAGCAGCAACAGAACAACGGGUGCAGCAUACAGAACACAGGCCAAUGUUUCGACAGGUCCUUGGCCUUGGAAACUGAUAUGGAAGACAAAACUACGUUUUUACUUGGACAACCCUCAAAGAUGUCAUACUAACUCAGGAUAAUCUAAAAAAAGAAAAGGAACUCACUGGUGAACAGAUGUUAUAUGUGCCAAAAAGACUCAAGAGUCAGCUAACUUUUUUUGUAUUGCCCUGUUGCAGCAAACCUAAAUGUGUCCUAACAGUAAAUGGACAGAGAAGAACAACAGAUACUUUGAUGGGAUUUCAACUCCUAAAUGUGUUCUAAAAUCUAAGUGUUGGAGGCUUGGAGCAAGUUAUCCCAAGUUAAUGAUGCUAUCCCGUUUUAGAAUUUUUUAGCUCCCUCUAGUGGCUUAGCAGCCAUUAACUUCUCCUCAUGAUUUUGAACUCCCAGCUUCGAUUAGUUUUUUUAGUUUCUUUGUAAAGCUUUAUGCAUCUUUCUAGAUGCUUUACAAUACAACUUACUUCGUGAAGAAUGGUUCUUUUUAUAGGUGUUUUUCUUUUUU